GUGCUUGCUUCAGUAGUACAUACGCUAAAUUUGGAAAAAUAGAUGAAAGCUUAGCAUGGCUCCUGUGCAAGGAUGACUUCCAAACUUAUGAAGCAUUCCAAAAUUUA
ensembl:snRNA U6 U6 spliceosomal RNA